rnacentral:rRNA from 1 species
ACAGAAACACUGCGGCAGGCUUACACAUGCAGUCGAGCGGAAUCGAUGAUAGCUUGCUAUCAGGCGUCCAGCGGCGGACGGGUGAGUAAUACUUAUGAAUCUACCUAGUAGUGGGGGAUAGCACGGUGGAAACUCGUAUUAAUACCGCAUACGACCUACCGGAGAAAGGGGGCAGUUUACUGCUCUCGCUAUUAGAUGAUCCUAAGUCGGAUUAGCUAGAUGGUGGGGUAAAGGCCUACCAUGGACGACUAUCUGUAGCGUGGUCUGAGAGGAUGCACUCAGCCACGCCGGGACUGAGACACGGCCCGGACUCCUACGGGAGGCAGCAGUGGGGAAUAUUGGACGAUGGGGGAAACCCUGAUCCAGCCAUGCCGCGUGUGAUGAAGAACGCCUUUUGGGUGUAAAGCACUUUAAGCAGUGAAGAACACUCCAUGGUUAAUACCCAUGGACGAUGACAUUAGCUGCAGAAUAAGCACCGGCUAACUCUGUGCCAGCAUCCUCGGUAAU